UAGGGAAUCUUCCGCAAUGGACGCAAGUCUGACGGAGCAACGCCGCGUGAGUGAAGAAGGAUUUCGGUUCGUAAAACUCUGUUGUUAGAGAAGAACAGCGCAUAGAGUAACUGUUAUGCGUGUGACGGUAUCCAACCAGAAAGCCACGGCUAACUACGUGCCAGCAGCCGCGGUAAUACGUAGGUGGCAAGCGUUGUCCGGAUUUAUUGGGCGUAAAGCGAGCGCAGGCGGUCAAUUAAGUCGGAUGUGAAAGCCCCCGGCUCAACCGGGGAGUGUCAUUUGAAACUGUUUGACUUGGGUGCAGAAGAGGAGAGUGGAAUUCCCUGUGUAGCGGUGAAAUGCGUAGAUAUAUGAAGGAACACCAGUGGCGAAGGCGACUCUCUGGUCUGUAACUGACGCUGAGGCUCGAAAGCGUGGGUAGCAAACAGG
rnacentral:rRNA from 1 species